CCGAAUUGUCAACAGGAGUUGUUGCUGGUCUCCAAAUGGAAACACGUGCACGCUCUGUUCACACAUCCACUCACACCUGUGCACCCUCUGUAGUUCUAUGGUUGGGGGGGUCUUUCCCUCCCUCUGUGGUUCUGCGUCUUUACACACACGCUGUAUCAAAGUUUCAUGGAAUGUAUGCUGCGAUUAACGCGACACAAUA
rnacentral:misc_RNA from 1 species